GGAGACAGUAAGAGAAAUGGCCUGUCUCCUCAGCGGCACAAUGGACUUUAGACAUCGCGCCUGUUUUGUACUCUCCAAGCCGGACUUCUCUACUCGCUGGCCUGGCGCUGAUGCCCAGAGGCCCCCUGUGCUUGUGGUCGUGGCCUUAGACAGUUCCCUGCCCUUUGUUCCAGCCCCGCCACACAGUCUGCACGGCCUCCACCACAGCUCUGGUGAGCCUCUUGGCCAGCUCCUGGUGACAGCGUGCACCUCCCUGCUCUGAGAAGGUCUCCCUCUCCUCUCUGCCCACCCUGUACAGAGACAUCUUUCAAGACCAUCCCAGAGGAGAGUGGCCUCUCUCCUCCACCCCAAGAGGAUGGCCUCUCCUGUGGCUGUCACUCAUCUGACCCCUACCACAGACCUGAGGGCAAGUGGUGCUCACGGGCCCACAUCUGCCAGCCUGCGCCUGGUUGGAGACGCCUCCCUCUCAUUUGUCCUUGCUUGCUGCGUGACUUUGGCAAGUGCUUGCCUCUUUGAGACCCUCAGUUUUCACACCUGAGAAGUAGAAAGGCGGUGCCUGCCCCAGCUGCCCCGCAGAAGAGUUUAGGUGGCAUGUGAGAAAAUGCCUUAUGAACUACGAUGUGAGCAACUGCAGCAUGCUGUGAACACCGCUUUCAUGAGCUCCUCGGGGGCAGGGUAACACCCAAGUAUUCUUACACCUCCCACCGGGCUUGUCACGACCGUAUGCAAAUGAAGGCCAUCAAGCGUGUUUGAUCAGUGA
rnacentral:lncRNA from 10 species